UACCAGCAGCCACAGAGGAAGGAGCUCUUUCUGACCAAAGCUGAGAGGAGGGGCUUGACUGCAGGAGAAAGUGUUUGCAGGAACCUAAGAUCAUGAACUCCUUGAGCCAGGCAAUGUGAUUUUUCUACAGCACCAAGGACACUCAAAGAGUGCCACUGGUGAGUUCAAGCAACGAGAAAGGGGAGAGGUAAUUAUCUGAUCUGCUUCUGAUGUCACAAAGUUGUGGGGCAACAAGGAAACAGAAAAGACAUUUUGGCCUUAUGUAUUGAUGAAGAUUUUUGAAGACC